CAGUAGCCGCGGGAACACGUAGGGUGCGAGCGUUAAUCGGAAUUACUGGGCGUAAAGCGUGCGCAGGCGGUUGUGUAAGACAGGUGUGAAAUCCCCGGGCUUAACCUGGGAACUGCGCUUGUGACUGCACAGCUAGAGUAUGGCAGAGGGGGGUGGAAUUCCACGUGUAGCAGUGAAAUGCGUAGAGAUCGGAAAGAACACCAACGGCGAAAGCACUCUGCUGGGCCGACACUGACACUGGGGGACGAAAGCUAGGGGAGCAAAUGGGAUUAGAUACCCCCGUAGUCCCUGUCUCUUAUAC
rnacentral:rRNA from 1 species